CGAAAGCCUGACGGAGCAAGACCGCGUGAGGGAGGAAGGCUCUUGGGUUGUAAACCUCUUUUCUCAGGGAAGAAGCUCUGACGGUACCUGAGGAAUCAGCAUCGGCUAACUCCGUGCCAGCAGCCGCGGUAAGACGGAGGAUGCAAGCGUUAUCCGGAAUUAUUGGGCGUAAAGCGUCCGCAGGUGGCUAGUCAAGUCUGCUGUCAAAGACCAGGGCUUAACCCUGGGCCGGCAGUGGAAACUGGUUAGCUGGAGUACGGUAGGGGUAGAGGGAAUUCCCGGUGUAGCGGUGAAAUGCGUAGAGAUCGGGAAGAACAUCGGUGGCGAAAGCGCUCUACUGGACGGCAACUGACACUCAGGGACGAAAGCUAGGGGAGCG
rnacentral:rRNA from 1 species